CAGUAGCCACGGGAAUACGUAGGUGGCAAGCGUUGUCCGGAAUUAUGGGGCGUAAAGGGCUCGCAGGCGGUUUCUUAAGUCUGAUGUGAAAGCCCCGGCUCAACCGGGGAGGGUCAUUGGAAACUGGGAAACUUGAGUGCAGAAGAGGAGAGUGGAAUUCCUCGUGUAGCGGUGAAAUGCGUAGAGAUGUGGAGGAACACCAGUGGCGAAGGCGACUCUCUGGUCUGUAACUGACGCUGAGGAGCGAAAGCGUGGGGAGCGAACAGGAUUAGAUACCCCGGUAGUCCCUGUCUCUUAUACA
rnacentral:rRNA from 1 species